rnacentral:rRNA from 1 species
AUUGAACGCUGGCGGCAUGCCUUACACAUGCAAGUCGAACGGCAGCACGGGGGCAACCCUGGUGGCGAGUGGCGAACGGGUGAGUAAUACAUCGGAACGUGUCCUGUAGUGGGGGAUAGCCCGGCGAAAGCCGGAUUAAUACCGCAUACGCUCUACGGAGGAAAGGGGGGAUCUUAGGACCUCCCGCUACAGGGGCGGCCGAUGGCAGAUUAGCUAGUUGGUGGGGUAAAGGCCUACCAAGGCGACGAUCUGUAGCUGGUCUGAGAGGACGACCAGCCACACUGGGACUGAGACACGGCCCAG